CGGACGGGUGAGUAAUGUCUGGGAAACUGCCUGAUGGAGGGGGAUAACUACUGGAAACGGUAGCUAUACCGCAUAACGUCGCAAGACCAAAGAGGGGGACCUUCGGGCCUCUUGCCAUCAGAUGUGCCCAGAUGGGAUUAGCUAGUAGGUGGGGUAACGGCUCACCUAGGCGACGAUCCCUAGCUGGUCUGAGAGGAUGACCAGCCACACUGGAACUGAGACACGGUCCAG
rnacentral:rRNA from 1 species